UAGCGUAUAUUAAAGUUGUUGCAGUUAAAAAGUUCGUAGUUGGAUUUCUGGUAGGAGCGACCGGUCCGCCCUGUUAAGGGUGUGUACUAGCGUUGUCUCUGGCCAUCCUUGGGGGAACUGCGCGGGGAGACUUGCGUUAGGGAACCCAUCGUUUACUGUGAAAAAAUUAGAGUGUUUAAAGCAGGCUUAUGCCGUUGAAUACAUUAGCAUGGAAUAAUAAGAUAGGACCGCGUGGUCGUCUUGUUGGUUUGCACCGCGAGGUAAUGAUUAAUAGGUACAGUUGGGGGUAUUCGUAUUUAAUUGUCAGAGGUGAAAUUCUUGGAUUUAUGAAAGACGAACUUCUGCGAAAGCAUUUACCAAGGAUGUUUUCAUUAAUCAAGAACGAAAGUUAGGGGAUCGAAGAUGAUUAGAUACCAUCGUAGUCUUAACCAUAAACUAUGCCGACUAGGGAUUGGCGGUCGUUUCUUUUGACCCCCGUCAGCACCUUAUGAGAAAUCAAAGUCUUCGGGUUCCGGGGGGAGUAUGGUCGCAAGGCUGAAACUUAAAGGAA
rnacentral:rRNA from 1 species